UGAGCAAUCUGCCCUUCUCUUCGGAAUAAGCGUUGGAAACGACGUCUAAUGCCGAAUACGACCUCCUUUCGCAUGAUCGGAGGUGGAAAGCUCCGGCGGAGAAGGAUGAGCUCGCGGCCUAUCAGCUAGUUGGUGUGGGUAAUGGCCCACCAAGGCGACGACGGGUGGCCGGCCUGAGAGGGUGACCGGCCACACUGGGACUGAGAUACGGCCCAGACUCCGUACGGGAGGNAGCG
rnacentral:rRNA from 1 species